GGGCCGGCCGCGCCGCGCCGAACCACCGCCUCUGUCCGCUCGCCUAUGGCCCUACGCUCCCCCGGCACUGGUGUCGGCUCGGCUCCCCGUGAUUCUCCACUAUUUCUCCCAUUAACGAACAUUUCACAAAACAAAUAAUAACUGUAAUGAAAUGCGAAGUACCUAGAAUUCACAGAAAUGGCGCUGUUUGCAUUUCUGUACAGUGCAGCCCCACCUUCCUGCAAGGGACAGGACAUCAAAGCGUUUUGGAGAGGCUCUGCCCUUUGUGGCUCAUGCUCUGGCACCUGGUGUGGGAAAGGCUGUAUGAUUAUGAUGACAAAACACGUCUGACACAGCAUACGCUGAAUACCGGCUUGAUGUGAAGAGCACAUUAGGAAGGCCACUUACACUGUUGGUGAGAGCAUUAUCUGUGUUUUGAGAAUGUGCUUAGCUGCGCUCCGUCGCUUCGACACAUUUCCACUGAGUGGCCACUGACCUGUUUGUAAUCUGUUUCGCAGAAGUUUUAUUUUGAGUGCGGUCAGCCCAGAGAAUCUGUGGUAUAGGAAGUAAAAACGAUGUUGAAUGAGUGCCACCAAGUGUCUUCCUGAAGAAUACAAAAGCCCAAGUCUUUAGUGGGAGCAAAAACCAGACUGCACCAUUAACUUCUAUAAUUUUGAGUGAGACAUCUCAGAGGCAGUAAAUUCUGUUAGAGUGAGAGGAGUUGCAGUUAUUAUUCCACUGAAGUGCAAGAGCAAACUCUGGAAAGCUGAUGAAGGCGCUUAUCUGUGGAAGGGACAGAAAAAAAGAUAAUGUUGUGUAUCCAUCCUGUCUGUCUCUCUGUUCCAUUUUGCUUAUCUUCUGAGUGAGUGCUCAGCCUUGACACUGGACUAUCUGUGUCUGUGCUGUGUCAGAUGAUGGUAUGAUACACCUUAUCUUUAGCAGGGCUGGUACGUGUCACAGGAUGUCCUAACAGGUAACAUAUGUUACAGAUCUGGCUAUUAACAAGUCAAUUUUGGCCCUUCUUCUGCUACUAUUGAUCCCAAUGCUGACCGGUAUUAAUACCUCCCAUGGGGGAAAGGCUGAGACUUGUGUGUAAGAAUAUCAGAGAUUCAACAGAAGAAAAAAGCUAGGUGUUGCCAAAUGCCCUCCAAGAUGGUUUCAUCCUGA